GCCUGGGUGGCUCAGUCGGUUGAGCGUCUGACUUUGGCUCGGGUCACGAUCUCGCGGUUCGUGGGUUCGAGCCCCGCGUCGGGCU
rnacentral:tRNA from 1 species